GGCUCAGAUUGAACGCUGGCGGCAUGCUUUACACAUGCAAGUCGAACGGUAACAGGUUAAGCUGACGAGUGGCGAACGGGUGAGUAAUGCAUCGGAACGUGCCCGAUCGUGGGGGAUAACGCAGCGAAAGCUGCGCUAAUACCGCAUACGAUCUGAGGAUGAAAGCGGGGGACCGUAAGGCCUCGCGCGAUCGGAGCGGCCGAUGUCAGAUUAGGUAGUUGGUGGGGUAAAGGCUCACCAAGCCGACGAUCUGUAGCUGGUCUGAGAGGACGACCAGCCACACUGGGACUGAGACACGGCCCAGACUCCUACGGGAGGCAGCAGUGGGGAAUUUUGGACAAUGGGCGCAAGCCUGAUCCAGCAAUGCCGCGUGCAGGAAGAAGGCCUUCGGGUUGUAAACUGCUUUUGUACGGAGCGAAAAGGCUCUCUCUAAUACAGGGGGUUCAUGACGGUACCGUAAGAAUAAGCACCGGCUAACUACGUG
rnacentral:rRNA from 1 species